rnacentral:tRNA from 1 species
UCUAAGGAUGAAUGAAAGUAAAAUUUCAUUCUAAAUAAUAUACAUCGGUAAUGUUGACCGUCCUCAUUUCUCUUCUUAAAGUAAUGUUUCCUUCUUGUAGGGCCGGUAGCUCAGUUGGUUAGAGCACACCCUUGAUAAGGGUGGGGUCGAAAGUUCGAGUCUUUCUCGGCCCACCACACUUAACUGGGGGAUUAGCUCAGCUGGGAGAGCGCCUGAUUUGCAUUCAGGAGGUCAGCGGUUCGAUCCCGCUAUCCUCCACCAGGAAACAUUUAGUUAUAAGAACUGUAAAUAAAUUUAAUAAUUAAUAUCAAUAUCUAUAUCCGAACAUUAGUAAUGUUAUUAGCUAAUGUUCAAAAUAAAAAUUUGAUUCAACAUAGAUAAUUUUCUGUAAAAAGAAUUUUUUUCUG